UGCAGUCGAACGAUGAACCUCACUUGUGGGGGGAUUAGUGGCGAACGGGUGAGUAACACGUGAGUAACCUGCCCUUGACUCUGGGAUAAGCCUGGGAAACCGGGUCUAAUACUGGAUACGACCUUCCCGCGCAUGCGGUGUUGGUGGAAAGCUUUUGUGGUUUUGGAUGGACUCGCGGCCUAUCAGCUUGUUGGUGGGGUAAUGGCCUACCAAGGCGACGACGGGUAGCCGGCCUGAGAGGGUGACCGGCCACACUGGGACUGAGACACGGCCCAGACUCCUACGGGAGGCAGCAGUGGGGAAUAUUGCACAAUGGGCGCAAGCCUGAUGCAGCGACGCCGCGUGAGGGAUGAAGGCCUUCGGGUUGUAAACCUCUUUCAGUAGGGAAGAAGCCGGCUUUUUGGGUUGGUGACGGUACCUGCAGAAGAAGCGCCGGCUAACUACGUGCCAGCAGCCGCGGUAAUACGUAGGGCGCAAGCGUUAUCCGGAAUUAUUGGGCGUAAAGAGCUCGUAGGCGGUUUGUCGCGUCUGCCGUGAAAGUCCGGGGCUUAACUCCGGAUCUGCGGUGGGUACGGGCAGACUAGAGUGCAGUAGGGGAGACUGGAAUUCCUGGUGUAGCGGUGAAAUGCGCAGAUAUCAGGAGGAACACCGAUGGCGAAGGCAGGUCUCUGGGCUGUAACUGACGCUGAGGAGCGAAAGCAUGGGGAGCGAACAGGAUUAGAUACCCUGGUAGUCCAUGCCGUAAACGUUGGGCACUAGGUGUGGGGGACAUUCCACGUUUUCCGCGCCGUAGCUAACGCAUUAAGUGCCCCGCCUGGGGAGUACGGCCGCAAGGCUAAAACUCAAAGGAAUUGACGGGGGCCCGCACAAGCGGCGGAGCAUGCGGAUUAAUUCGAUGCAACGCGAAGAACCUUACCAAGGCUUGACAUGAACCGGAAUGAUGCAGAGAUGUGUCAGCCACUUGUGGCCGGUUUACAGGUGGUGCAUGGUUGUCGUCAGCUCGUGUCGUGAGAUGUUGGGUUAAGUCCCGCAACGAGCGCAACCCUCGUUCCAUGUUGCCAGCGGGUUAUGCCGGGGA
rnacentral:rRNA from 1 species